GGGAAUUUUCCGCAAUGGGCGAAAGCCUGACGGAGCAAUGCCGCGUGGAGGUGGAAGGCCUACGGGUCGUCAACUUCUUUUCUCGGAGAAGAAACAAUGACGGUAUCUGAGGAAUAAGCAUCGGCUAACUCUGUGGCAG
rnacentral:rRNA from 1 species